ACCCUCCAUCCAGGUUUCUCAGCUCUCCUCAAUGCCUCCAUCUCUUCUCUAUUACACUCCUGUCUCUCACAGGAAAAGUUUGUCUUUAGGGUUUGUACGUACGUACUGGGCGUGCUUGAAAGUGGAUCCAAAGUUACUCCAUUUAUCUGCAUUUGCACCUGCACCUCUCAAGUCUAGUCUAUGAUCAGUGUUUUCCAUGUCUAUUUAUUAUUAUCGCUGUGAGAUGGGGCUUAGGUGCAUGUACAGUUGCAGACUAAUGGGAUUUCUUCAUCUUUCAUCGAGUGGUAGGUGCAGUAAGUUGCUGCUGUUUAAUUCCCUGAGCUAGGGAGACCAAUUAAGGCAGUCACUACAACUACAACAGAUUUGAUCUAUUGUGAUGGUCUCAAACCGUCACACUUUUUUAUGAUGGACAAAAUCAUCAUAAAAAUUUAUUUGAGACCGUCACCAAAAAGGCGUCAGAGAAAGUACUUUGUAAUAGUUUACUGUACAAUCAUUACUAAUAGAUUUUUUUUUUUUUAUAUGGUUGGAAAUCUUAUAUGAAAUAUAAUGUUCAAACGUGAAGAGUUUUUGUGACAAUCAAAUUUCAUCAUAGAAAGUAACAGUCGCAUGUACCGAAUAACGUUCGAAUGUUUACUUGACCGAUUAGCAUUUGAAUAAUAAAUAUCUAAUGUUUGGCAUUUUUUA